AUAAUCAUGUGCAACAUAAAAUUUAGUGUAUAUUGACACACGUGUGACACUGCUCGUUAAAACCUUGUCAGGAAAAACCCAGUGGGAUAAAAACCUGGACGAAGGAAAAAGAGUACAGUGUGUGAAGGGCUUUAUUGACAGCACGCUCCCCCUGAUGCUUGGCAAAAUAUCUUUAAGCCAUACUGUUGAUCAUCUUUAUGAAUAUCAUAGCUGGCAUUGCUUCUGUGAGUCAAUCUUGUAAUAUUGUUGGAUGCUCC
rnacentral:lncRNA from 1 species